UACGUAGGCAGCGAGCGUUGUUCGGAGUUACUGGGCGUAAAGAGUGCGUAGGCGGUUUUCUAAGUUUGGUGUGAAAUCUCCCGGCUUAACCGGGGAACUGCGUCUGAUACUGGAUGGCUUGAGAUUGGGAGAGGGAUGCGGAAUUCCAGGUGUAGCGGUGAAAUGCGUAGAUAUCUGGAGGAACACCGGUGGCGAAGGCGGCAUCCUGGGCCAACACUGACGCUGAGUGAGCGAAAGCCAGGGGAGCAAACGGG
rnacentral:rRNA from 1 species